rnacentral:tRNA from 1 species
GGCCCGUUCGUCUAGGGGUUAGGACAUCACUCUUUCACAGUGGAGACACGGGUUCAAUUCCCGUACGGGCUA